AUUGAACGCUGGCGGCAUGCUUUACACAUGCAAGUCGAACGGUAACAGGCCGCAAGGUGCUGACGAGUGGCGAACGGGUGAGUAAUGCAUCGGAACGUGCCCAGUCGUGGGGGAUAACUAUCCGAAAGGAUAGCUAAUACCGCAUACGAUCUGCGGAUGAAAGCGGGGGACCUUCGGGCCUCGCGCGAUUGGAGCGGCCGAUGUCAGAUUAGGUAGUUGGUGGGGUAAAGGCUCACCAAGCCAGCGAUCUGUAGCUGUCUGAGAGGACGACCAGCCACACCGGGACUGAGACACGGCCCAGACUCCUACGGGAGGCAGCAGUGGGGAAUUUUGGACAAUGGGCGCAAGCCUGAUCCAGCAAUGCCGCGUGCAGGAAGAAGGCCUUCGGGUUGUAAACUGCUUUUGUACGGAACGAAACGGCUCUGGUUAAUACCUGGGGCUAAUGACGGUACCGUAAGAAUAAGCACCGGCUAACUACGUGCCAGCCGCCGCAGUAA
rnacentral:rRNA from 1 species